UGGAUAAUUGAAAUGAGGGGGAAAAAAGCGGGGUGGCGUUUUCGCAAUUUUAGUGAUCUUUGUAUUUUAUUUUGCCUAACAAUUAUCACAUCAGUGGAGAAAAACACUUGCGGGGAAAAACAAAUUUACACUAUUUUUCUUUUCACUAUCCCGUAAAAACCACACAAUUCCAGAUCUGAGAUUUUCCGUUUGCCUCUCCCCGUGAACCACACACUCGCCGCCGAAACCCACUUCUUGUUUAAUAAACAGCAUCGCUCAAAGACAAGGACAAGGACAACAUCCCUCAACGACAAGAGCUGGUCUUCAGGUGCAGGGCCUGGUUUUGGUUCCUGUUUGGAAGAGGUGGAAGAGGUGCUACUAUAAGCAAUUACUUUGGAAGGUCUUCAUGCCCAACGCAAACCAUAAAUGUCAAUGAGAUUGAAGCAAAAAUUGAAGAAAAACUUGCAACAAAAAUUAAAGCGGAAUGCAAAGUAGAGUUCGAACAACAGAUGGCCACAACGCAUCAGUUGAUGCAAAAAUCAUUUAUGGAGACACUCAAGAAUAUGGGCUUAUUCGAUACCUCCCAAACAAAAACAAAUUGAACCCUGUUCUGAAAAAGUUGUUGUGUUAGGAAGCGCAAAAGGUUCUUGUUCUGCAGCACAAGAAAAUCACAAGGACGAAUUGACCACUAACAAUGUUCAGAAAGUGAUAUGCAUGAUUUUGAAAGAGAAGCAAUAUCUAAGGUUAAAAUUAGAAAAUGGUCCGGAAGUGAUAAAUUUCUUAAUUGCACCAGAAUGUGUUAAAGACUUAUUGGUUGGCGGGGCUUGGCUUGACUAUUCUAUUCUACAAGUUUGGUGCACGUAUGUACAUAUUCUUGCUUAAUACUAUCAUUAACUAUUAGUGUUGUGUCUCAUGACUACAAUAUUUAAUAUUGAUUUCAAAUUUAUUCAGGUGUAUGCACCGUCUCUGUAUUGAAACAAACAAAUCAAAUGUGUUUGGAUUUUUAGACCCAACAAAUUUGAGUUUUAAAUCAAAGUCCACAAUGAAUAUAGAACCAUUUAAAUCCUACAUACGAACUAGGUUGCGUGAUAUGAACAAAGUGUGUUACUUGGCACCAUUUCUUAUGGAGUAGGUAUAUAUAAAUUUGUGUUUUCUCUUAUUUAUGUUUGAUAAUUUAAACGUUAAUAAUUGUUCUUUUACGUGUAUCGAGGGCAUUGGAAAUUAAUCGUCAUUUGUCCAAAGGAUAAUACAUUUGUUGUCCUUUGAUCUUUAACAAAGAUCUUGACACAACAAUGAAGGAAAUUGUUUCAGCUGCUCUGGAGGUUCAUCAAUUAGCAAACGGUAAUAAAAGAAGCUUCGUUGCAUUCGUCCUAUGAAGAACAUGCUAGACAUCGUCUCUUCUAAUAUUACUACCUCUUGGAUGAAGGUAUUCAAUGAUACAACAACAUUAACAGAAGAUGAGCUGUAUGCUUUGCGAAACGAUUGGGCAACUUGUUUUCUUGAAUUGUAUGAAACUUAGGAUUUGCUAAGAUAUGCUUCAAUGUAAUUUAGUACUAUUGGUCUGUUAUUUCUAGCUGGGAGAUCUAUUGGCACUUGGAGAGAGAGCCCCCCCUUUUUUUUUGUGUUUUGGUACUGCUGGUGACAUAGCAUGACUUGUUUUUUGUUUUGUGUGCAUCCAACUAAUGUGAAACGUAUUUUCUUGCUUUUGA